UAUUGCGUUCUGCAUGUCGUUUAAUUUAGUAUCGAAACAGUCGUUACAUAUAGUGUAGAAAUUUUUGUCAGCGCUAACACUCAAAUUAUUUGUUUGCGAAUAAAAAAAAUGGAGUUAUUUCAAUUAUUGCUGUUAUUAAUUUUUGCUGGAAUUAAUAUGUGUGAGAUUAUUAAAACUGAGCAUUGUUUCUGUGUUCCCGCUUCUCAAUGUCUCAAUGAAAAAAUAUUUAAUAACAAUUCUGAAGUAAUUCCAUCUAUAAGAUACGAUGUAAAAUGUGACUUACAAAACAAUGUCUGUUGUAAUAUUAACAACAUUUUGGAAUCUUACCAUUGAGGAUACCACUUUAUAAAAGCAAACUUACAACUUUAUAAAAAUGAAGUUGUGAAAUUCACUACGAAUUAGCGAAUAUGCACUGAAAACCAGUUAUAAAUAUACUACGGGUUGAAUUAAUGAUAUAUUUAUAGCUAGACAAAUAGUGACUAUCCACUGAUUCGCAGUAAAUUUCACUAAUUCAUUUUUCGAGAGAAUGUUGUAAAAAUAAAAAUGAAUAAAAAUUUUCAUUUAUAUUAAAUGAA